UACGGGGGGGGCAAGCGUUGUUCGGAAUUACUGGGCGUAAAGGGCUCGUAGGCGGCCAACUAAGUCGGACGUGAAAUCCCCAGGCUCAACCUGGGAACUGCGUCUGAUACUGGAUGGCUUGAAUCCGGGAGAGGGAUGCAGAAUUCCAGGUGUAGCGGUGAAAUGCGUAGAUAUCUGGAGGAAUACCGGUGGCGAAGGCGGCAUCCUGGACCGGCAUUGACGCUGAGGAGCGAAAGCCAGGGGAGCAAACGGG
rnacentral:rRNA from 1 species